ACAAACCUACAGUCAAGAGCGUCAACGUGUUCAGCCGAAGCCCCGCCCCCUGUUCAAUCUAUAGGCGGACCGGGCUUCAUAUAUAACGUGAAGGAACAUUGUGCGCACUCAGGUUUGUGGCACUUUCACCUCACGGCGGAUCGUAGCAUCAGGUUCACUCUUUGGCAUUACACAACCUACAGGAGAUUUGUUUUAAGCCGUGUCGUGCACAAAUAUCGCAGCGAUGAUCAUCAGACUCGGCAGACUGACUCCUGGAUACUUCCGUCUCCUGCAGAGGCAGGUAGCAGGUGAGGUUCAGGCCCCAACUCACGACCGCUCGGUCAACCAGAUCGCCAUGAUGCUGGCCAUCAUGGGCCUCAGCCUGUCCUACUACAGUGCCAAACAGAUGAUGGAGAAGGUUCGCCAUGAACCCGCCCCGUGAAGAUGUGCAUAUGUGCUCUGGAUCGACGGCAUCUGGAGGAGAUGAAGUCGAACUGAAGAUGUUCAGAUUCUGUCACAAUACCUUUCUAUAACCUCCAGGGAUCACACACCGCAGGACUUCCGCUUAGGGGUUCUCUUGCUUUAGUUUAGCUCUCAAUGGGAUCUGGAAGGGUUGACUUGAUACAUGCAUCAGAGAGUCAGUCAAUAGGUUGCUGUAGGCUCAAAACUCAAGCUCCACCAAUGCAUGAGCGAAUCCGGAGCGCAACUCUGAGCCAUAAUGUCUUUUAAAGGGAAGGACCUCUGUGUUUGAGAUGUACCAAGCAACUAUUGAAAGCAGGUCCAAUGCACAAGGGUGAAAUGCUCCAAUUUCCCCCCAAAAAGAUGCUAUUGGAGAACAUCAAAGCCUUGAGGACUUAUAGUUAAGGUGCUGCUAUACAAUACUACACUCGGUGUCAGACACUUUAGGAAAUUUACUACACAAAGAACAUUUGAGGACCUUAUGUUAAAGUGACU